GUUAAAAUUUCAUUAAUUAACUAACUAAUGAAGCACCUGAAAUGUGACUGGUACUGUGAGAGACAAUGGAAAUGCAUUGGUGACUAAAACAGCAGCCAAAGACAUCGUUUGCUUAUAUGCCAGAGAAAAUUCACAUGAAGUCAGGGGCGGGUCAUCGGAGAGGUCCUCCUGGCAGACUGACGGGAGAUGAAAGCUGAGAUUCGUGUAGCAGCGUGGAGGAUUUCAGGAGUCAUUUAUGAUGGAUGUGCGAGAUAGUCCUUGCUAAGAGACUGGAAAUUGGGAGGUGCAUUAACUUUCAAGCAAAUAAUUCUUAGUAGAAGAGAAGAAAUCCAAGGCUCCCAGCAUCUUCACAUUAAGGCACCACAGCCUCAGGAGCAAACGUCUGCCCAGAAAGCCCUCACCCUGGAGCUACCUCCUCCCUAGUGUCUCUGUGAGUAACACGUAGACACGUUUGCCACUAAAUUCCUCAACCUUCUUCUUUCUGGAUCACUUGAUGUUUCUGGGGGGUCCUGCUGGACAUAGAACCUUUUCAAGCAGAUGGCAAGAGCGACUUCCGCGGUGGGCAGGAGGCCCUGCCGGGUUGUGCUCUGUGAAAUAGGUCCUCUUCCUGUGUGGCCACUGAAGAACGAAUGCCCUCAGGGCCUCUGAGCUCUCACUGUUCUCCAUUUUCUCUGUGCCCUCUGAGGAGUCUGGUCAUAUAAUGCAUGUCAGUGAAGUACUGUCCAAGGCUCUCAGCCCAUGAUUUCAUUUGACCCUUACAACUUGGGGUUGAGGUCCAAAUCCUAGGUUCUCUGACUCCUGCCCUCGGCUCUUGAAAUGCAACCCCCACCGGCUCUGCUUUCCUUUCCCUUCCUGUUUCUAAUAAAGCGUGUCCACAAUGGUUGCUGUCACUUUCUAGUUGAAAGUCACCACUCUAAAGCCACCCUCCUCUGCUCCAUUGGUAUUCUUGAUCAUUCUAGGUGUUCCGUGGUUCUAUAGUUGAAGUGCU